rnacentral:rRNA from 1 species
GUCUAUGGCCUUGCUACCCUGAACAAACCUGAUCCCGUCUGAUCUCAGAAGCUAAGCAGAGUUGGACCUAGUUAGUACCUAGGAAGACCAGGUAUUGUAGGUG